AACGGCCGCGGUAUCCUAACCGUGCAAAGGUAGCAUAAUCACUUGCCCAUUAAUUGUGGGCUAGUAUGAAAGGGUUAACGAAAUAAAGACUGUCUCAAUUAAUCACCUAAAAACUAUUCUCUACUCGAAGAAAAGUAGAUCCUCUCGAAGGACAAGAAGACCCUAUAGAGCUUAAUUUUACUUAUAGGUCAAAUUACUAUAAAAAUAUUCGGUUGGGGCGACCCAGGGCUAAUUAAUCACCCACAAAAAAAAAGAUAUAUAAAUCAAAUAAAUGACCCUCAUAGAUCAAAAGACCAAGCUACCUUAGGGAUAACAGGCUAAUCCCACUUAAGAGUCCUUAUCAACAGUGGGGUUUGGCACCUCGAUGUUGGCUUAGG
rnacentral:rRNA from 1 species